GCAGGCUCCUUUCCAUGCCUGGGUGGUGUCCUGCUGUGAUACUAAACUUUGAAUGGGAGCUGCUGUAUCAAGAAAUUUCACAGUAAGACAGGGGCUGCCAGUCUGAGCCUGAACCAAAGCGGUUCCAAAGAUUUACUUUGGACAUGCUAUUGCUGACGGGGGAAAAGUGAUGGGUAGGCAGUGAGCUCACCGAGCUGCACCGGCUGCUCCUCCGCCACCAGGCUGACCGGUGCCAGCAUUGCACAACCCCUGGGGAGACAGGGUGAGAAGGGAAAUUGUUGCAGUGGGCACCUGAAUGCAAUCGAGCCUCUUCAGCAGUAGAAAUGGCUCUCGUUCCUGUGCCCUGACUCAGCCUCCCAAUGUUGCAAAAUCCCUGUUCGUAUCAUAUGCAGGUGGUGGGGUUUCCAAUUUAGAAGCUGCGUUGGAACAAGAACAGAAGAGGCACUCAGGGAUAUCGGCACAUGAGCCAGUCACCCAUGGCUCUCGGUAGUCAACAAGACGCCUCCAGAAGGAGGAUGGGCACUGAGAGCUCAAUGCAAGGAGUCAGAUGGAGCCACUUACCUCAGCCACCGGCCCCAGGAGAUGCCUGUCUGCAGCUGAGCUGCGGGGAAAGGAGGUGUCAUUCAGUAAUGACAGCAUUAACACCUAGGAAGAGAAAGCAGCCAAAAAGCAGAGUUACAUUAGGAUUAGUAUUGGCAGCAUUGCUAUGAAAGAAUGCCCAGAGGAGGGAGAGGGUUUUUGAGCCCUGGCUGCAAAGGGGCCAAGGACUGGCAGCAUUUUGAGCAUGACCAGCUCGGUGUUGCAGGGCAGGGACCUUUGCCCCAUCUCAGUAAAGACAGAGGGUCGCCGCUCAGUGGCACCCGUCCCCUUUGCUGAGGGCUCUGGGGAGCUUAUCCCACCCACAAGCGGUGAUGGGAUAAGCGAGCUGCAAGGCGUCUUCGGGCGAGAUGCCUCUGCUCUAACGGCACAUGCAGGCAGAUGCCGCUGUGCAAAGUGAACUUUAUUCCAUUUGCAAAAUGACACAAGCUCCACACGCUGCCACUCGGCUGGCUGCCGGCUGUGGCUGUUGGGUCAAGCUUUGUCGGAGGGAUCUGACUCACUUCUUGCAUCAGACUUGCAAGAAAAUGAGUCAGGGAUAAUCUCUAAUAUCCCAAUCAGCCUCCCUACAUCUCCUGCCUACGUUCAGCUCUAUUUAGGGGGCUCUUGGGGAGCUGAAUUCGAGGCUCAUUCAGUACAAAUGCCAGUGGGAAAUGAAAGUUAUCACUCAAGGAGGUCGCCAAAAGAAAAGGAGACUAAGAGAGAUGUACCAAGGAAGCAUGGAGGAGUUUGCACAGGGUUGUUGCUGCUCCUAGUUCCCUGGAAGGCAGAGGACUGCAUGGCAUUUAGAUGGGAGCACUGGUGCUCAGGAAAGCAUUGCAGGACAAAUCUCUGCUGGGAUUGCCAGACCUAUGACAGAUUCAGUGAGUCCAGCAAGGAAACAGGAUCUGUCCCUGAUGGAGGAGGAGGAAACUGGGAGCGUGAGAAUGAAGGGAAUAGCAGGAGCCUGGGGGCAAGCUGUGUGCGAAGCAGAGGGGAAGGACUGGGACUUGGAGUUGUACAGAGGGAGCCCCAGCCUGCACCCAUGGAGCAGGGAGGGCAGGGAACAGUGAAAGAGCCUCAUUACCCAAAUGAUGCCUUUCCCUCAUCUCUUAGGGAGGAAUCAGAGACUAGGACGAGAUUGAGGAACUGCCAAUCUGGAACAGAGUAGUGGUGCCUGCAGUCAAGUACCCAGCUUCCAGAAGAGGCAAAUUUGGAUGCUUUAGAGGAAAAUCUUCGAUAGCAUCCCAGUUCCAGGAAGAGUGCAAUACGUUGGGUGUUUACUCGUGUUGGGAUAGCUGCAGAACCAUAGCAGGGCAGACAGGCUAUUUAUAAGCGUAUCAGAUAUCAGCUAAGCUCUUUGCACUUUCUAUGGAGCAUAUAUCAAGAUUAACGAGAAGGAACAUGGGCUGAGGGCAGCAAAUGAGCAGAGGUUGGAGAAGAGGUGUCCUUUAAUACAAUGCAGAUGGGAAAGAACAGCAGCUGGCCCUGUGCCCAGUGCUACUUCUAAGACCUCUCAAAGCUGAGGAAGAUCACUUUAUUACCAACACUGUGAGAAAGAAGGGUUGAAAAUGCUGGGUUUGAUGGCUUUGCAUUAUUAAAUGGAGAAUUGUUUGCUCCUAAAUAUAUAUACAUAUAUAUAUAUGCACACACACAAAUCUAUUCAUAGAUAUUUCAUUAAGCUCUUCUAAGUACAUGCUGUGUGUAACAAAAUAAUAAGCCAGCUAAAGAGUUAACUCUCUAUAGAUCUCCAAACCUACUAGGAGGGAGCUAGAAUACAGAUUUAAGCAGACAGAAGAUGAUACUUGUUCCAAUUAAUGUUCCAGCUAGCAUCUGCUCUUUUUAAUUAGUUGAAGUCUGGUUUUGUCUGGAGACAGAAUUGCUGAGCAGAAGCGUGCUGGCUUCUUUUCUGCUUAGUUGGCUAUUCUGAUCUCUCUUGGUCUUUGGAAACUUUUUCUACACUUCACAGAGGCUAAAAACUAUUGUGCACUGAUAUUUGUGUGUGCCCACAGGCUCUCUAUAAGUUUCACUGCAACCAGCUUCCAUCUGGAGGGAAAACAGGCACAGGAAGAGUUUUUACAGGUGUCCUCCCCACCACACACACAUUUGUGCAUUGCUUCACUUAUCUGAGACUCAGUUUUCUUCUGCAAGCAAGAAUUCCUGUUGAGCAGAUGCAGGUGGAUGGAGAAGGGUUCCCUAGGACCUGUUAACCUUCCUGUUUUGCUCGAAGCUUGCUGAUCCUUCACCUCACCCUUUGUAACAUGACCUUUGAGGAUCUGCAUGUUUCAAUUACGCACAGAUGAAUAAUUUACAAGCCACGGCUGUUGGGAUAAACAAGCCCUUCUGCUCUGUCCAAGCACUAGACAGCUUGUCUUAAAUUUCCCUCACUUUGCUGAAACCUCCACGACUUCAGCAGCAUUCAAAAACUUUUAAAGGAGAAGCUGGUGAGGGAAAAGCAGGAUGGCAUAUCACAGCAGCAAACAGCACUCACAGCAAGUAUUCCUCUUAUCUCUGAGCAGGGCAUUGACCUGUUGUACAAACUCCAGGUAGGAAAGCCACUGGCAAAGCAACCUCAGAUAUAAUAUUUACCUAAGAGGAGACAUUUCAGUGGAAAACAAGCUACAGGAUCUGCUGACACCCUGGUGGAGAGAACAGCGGGCAUUCACGCAGGUGCAGUCAAUGGAAUAGGAACAGGAUGUGGAAACUUUCUAGCAUUUCCAAGUAACAAGGCUGUUGUUGCAUGAGGGGCAUGUUUGCGCUGUCUGUGAUUGCAGCUGAACAGCUACGAGAAGCUGUGGAUCUGGGGCUUGACCCGCCAGAGCCCCACCGUGCGGCAUCAGAGGAGUCACUUGGUUUCUCUGCCCCACUACUCCAUCCUUAAAGCAGGGAGGCAAACAGGCAGGUCCUGCAAGGAAACAGCCAGGCUGACACCACAUGUUUAGGAACUGUUUUGAUGGGUACCUGCUGACGCCUAGUCCUCUGGCAAGGGAAACAGAUCCCAUGAGCUGCCCUGGGGAUAUAAGCUGCAGUUUAGGGCCACAGAUAACAACUCCUGUCAAAGCUUCUCUGGAGAAGACGGACAGGACCAAAACAGCUCAGGAGCAAAGUGAAUAACUGGGUUGUUUUUUCUCUUUAAUCCUUUCCACAUGAGCAGAAAGGGUUUGGAGCCAUAAAGCAUGUGCUCUCUCUUGCAGCUCUCAGAAAUCAGCCCUUUACUUUACAGAUCCUUUUUGGUCAGAUCUGUAUGCCUCUACUGAAGGAAGGGAGCCUGCACCACCACCUGUUCUGCUAACAAAAAGCCACAGUUUCGCUAUCUCCCUAAGCAGAGACUGGCACUGACAGGGCCAAUCCCACCUUCCCCCCGCCUUUGAUCACGGUGAUCAAAAUAAAAGGAUUGUUUCCUCAGGCAGGGUAUUUUUCAGCUGGACAGUCACAGCAGCUGUACUUUUGCCAUGAAGCAAGGGCCAGGAAAACAGCUGGAACUGUGCCGUAAGAGCUUAAUGUAAAAUCAUGAAGUUGCAACCUCAGGUUCCUGGGUCAUUUGUCCCUGCAAAUAGCAAGAAUUUAUAGCCCUUGUUAUAGCCCUGGUUAGGAAAGUCUCCUUGGCUUCAGCUCCGUGGCUCUCUUUCCAAUGGGCCAAGCACAAACUCCUAGGCCCCAGACGUACUUAGUUUUGAGGGAAAUCUGGAACUACUUUUCAAUUUGGGAUUAGGUCUAAACAGGUAUUCGGAACUGGCCUUGAAAUCACAACUAUGUCAUGUAUUUAUCAUCCUUACCAACAGAAGGCUGUGGAGCCACUCAGGGGCCCAAGCUCAGCCUCCCAGAUCUCCUCCCCGCCACCUGGAGAGUCUGUGAAACAUCCAUUCUCCGAGGUUUUCAAAACAGCUGUGCAAAGCCUUCAGCAGCCUGAUGUGACUUUGAAGUUGGCCUUGCUUGGAGCAAGAGGUUCGGCCUGAGACCUCCAGUGGUCUCUCCCAAGUGGUAUUGUUCUGUGGUUCUGUCAUCUUCAGCUGCAUUUGCAUCAUGCUCUGCUAGGCCACUAUCAGCAGACAGAUCAGCAGGUGUCCCCACACUGACUAAUCCAGGCCAGAAGUCAGAGAGCCUGAAUCAACUGACGCUUCAGCGUUGGCUGCAUUAGUUCAGGAGACAGAGCAAAGCCCAGAGCUUAUCUGCAUGCGGUUGUCUAAGAAGAGUACCGCUGACAGUCAUUGCAAGGGAGGAUCCUUGCCACCAUGGCACAUGCUAGAAUAAGCUCUACAUUGCAAAAGAAGCUGGCCCAGGUCUCACAAGGUCCUAAAAUACAGACAGCAGGGUAUUUUCUCCUCUUCUCAGCAGGAAAGAGUCCACAAUCUCAGCAGAAAAAAGAGAGCGUGAAGUACAAAUCAUUGAGCACUUGCUACUUGCUGUCUAAGUCAUUACACAAGUACCCUCACAGCAAAAGGAUGGAUAACAGGGGCUGUCCUGUCAUUUCCACAUGUCUCUUUAUAGUAUUUAUCAGCUUUCAACCACCAGAUUGAAUCCAGAAUAAUUCUUGUUGCAAGAAUAUCACAAAUUCAUUUUGGAUGAGGCAGCCCUGGAAGACACUGGAUAUGAGAGAAUCAGUGGUAGGACUCAAAGACCUGAGUGAGUCCUGCUCCAUCAGCUUGUUUGCAAUGAUGAGAGCUGAGCUCACAGGUCUUCUUGAAGAGCACCCUCUGGGGACACUUCUCAGUGUCACUUCUUCAGCAGCCAGAGGAUGGGCCAGGUUUUUCUUGGUGCUCAUCAUGUCUGGAGACCUCACCUGUAUGGUAAAAGUGGGAAAUACAGAUCACUGCGCCAAAUCCCUGUCCAUGGCAAUACAAGGUUGCUGCCACCUCGUGGCUGGCUCUGACCAUCCAAAGGUCACCGGGCAUGUUGUUCCAGCUGGAAAAUUUUACAUUAAGAUAAAAAUCCCUCCUAGAAGUAAG